rnacentral:lncRNA from 1 species
UCGAUCUUUUCAAUAAAAAAAACCCCAAGCUUCAACAACUUAUGGUGGGACGGGUCACGGGUAUACCUAGGGGUGGAAACGAGCCGAGCUCGAGCGAGCUUAUGUCAGCUCAAAUUCGGCUUGAAAUUAAUUUCGAGCCUAAAUUUAGGCUCAAGCUCGGCUUGAAAUUAAUUCGAGCCGAGCUCGAGCGAGCCUAAUUUCGAGUCGAGCCGAGCUCGAGCUCUAAACGAGCCGAUUGAAAUUCUCGACAUUAUAUAAUCAAUAGUUAAUUUUUAUAGAACAUUACCUACAACUUGAUGCAACAUGUCCAAUAGUUCAAAAUACAAAAUAAUUAUAAGAAAUGUGAGCUAUGGUGACUUCCUGACUGGAUGAGAGUUUGAGAGAGAGAGAGAGAGAGAGAG